rnacentral:misc_RNA from 1 species
GAUGAAGAACGUAGCGAAAUGCGAUAAGUAAUGUGAAUUGCAGAAUUCAGUGAAUCAUCGAAUCUUUGAACGCACCUUGCGCCCUUUGGCCAUUCCGAAGGGCAUGCCUGUUUGAGUAUCAUGAACACCUCAACUCUCAUGGCUUGCCAUGAUGAGCUUGGACUUUGGGGGUCUUGCUGGCCUGCGGUCAGCUCCUCUCAAAUGAAUUAGCUUUCCAGUGUUUGGUUGGCAUCACAGGUGUGAUAACUAUCUACGCUUGUGGUUUCCAUCAGGUAACCUUCAGUAACAUGGGGGUUUGCUGGAGCUCAUAAAUGUCUCUCCUCAGUGGGGACAGCUCUUUGAACAUUUGAUCUCAAAUCAGGUAGGACUACCCGCUGAACUUAAGCAUAUCAAUAAGCGGAGGA